CCUGUUGUCCUUUAAGGAGACAGAGUAAAAUAGGCCUCUUUCUUUUGUCUCCCAUCUGCCUUCCUCUCCUUAAGACAUAUAACCAAGACUUCUUCCCUCAUUUUCCUCCAAACUACAGGGAAUACAACAGAGAACAAACGGACAAAGCCCCUGCUGUCAUGGAGAGGAGAUAAAAAGCAGCACAAAAGUCACACAAAGAGAUCAGUGAGUGUCGCUCCACUGUGAUUCUUCAGUGAAUAAUAGUUAUAACAGGAGAAGGAGCGAAGGCCCUCCUGGUAUCUGAGACAAGAACGGUUGUUUUCCUCAGUUCCACCAUGUGGACACAAGAGAGUUCCAGAAGACAACUUUUAAAAACUUAAGAGAGCUGCUUUCAGUUCUGUUUAAAUUGUACCAUAGAUAGUCACAAGAUGGUGCCAAAAGAUGCCUUUUGAAAAUCUAAGUGGUUGGUUCCUUCUUUGGUUGUUUAAA